GGAGGUCAUGCUGGAGAAUGUGCAGAAUCUACUCUCUGUGGGACUUCCAGCUCCUAGAGAAGAAUUGAUCUCACAUUUUGAGCAAGGGAAAGUUCCAUGGAUGCUGGAGCAAAAAGGCCCAAGAAAAUCCUGUCCAGAUGGAGAGACUAGACCUGGAAUAAGGGAGACUACUGCAAACAUGAGCAUUUCUGUGGAAGAAACACAACAGCAAAGAUUAAUAAAUGGUGGUCACUGCAACCCCAGUUUGAGAGAAACCUGGGAUUCUGAUAUCAAGACAAAGAAAAAACAAAAGAGUCAUUGCAAAUUUGAUAAAGAUGUAAAGAGUUUUAGACAAUGUUCAGUCCUAAUUCACUGUAAUAAAACAACA